UACGGGGGGUGCGAGCGUUGUCCGGAAUCACUGGGCGUAAAGGGCGCGUAGGUGGUUUGAUAAGGGUGUGGUGAAAGUCCGGGGCUCAACCCCGGAUCUGCCGUGCCGACUGUCAAACUCGAGGGCUGUAGAGGCAGACGGAAUUCCCAGUGUAGCGGUGAAAUGCGUAGAUAUUGGGAGGAACACCAGUGGCGAAGGCGGCUCACUGGACCGGUUCUGACGCUGAGGCGCGAAAGCGUGGGGAGCAAACGGG
rnacentral:rRNA from 1 species